rnacentral:rRNA from 1 species
CCUACGGGUGGCAGCAGUCGAGAAUCAUUCACAAUGGGGGAAACCCUGAUGGUGCGACGCCGCGUGGGGGAAUGAAGGUCUUCGGAUCGUAAAGUUCUGUUGAAGGGGAAAAAGAGCGGAGAGAGGAAAUGGUCUCCGAUUGAUAUUACCCUUCGAGGAAGUCACGGCUAAAUACGUGCCAGCAGGCGCGGUAAUACGUAGGUGGCGAGCGUUAUCCGGAAUGAUUGGGCGUAAAGGGUGCGUAGGCGGCCUGCUAAGUCUGGAGUGAAAGGGACCGGCUAAACCGGUACAGGCGCGGGAAACUGGCGGGCUAGAGAGCAGGAGAGGGCGGGGGAACUGCAGGGGUAGCGGGAAAAGGUGAGGUAAUAUGGAAGAACACCAGUGGGGAGGGCGGACGCCUGGCCUGUUACGGACGCGGAGGCAGGAAGGCGGGGGGAGGAAAUGGAAUU